rnacentral:rRNA from 1 species
CUAAAAAAUAGUAAGAGCAUAUGGUGAAUGCCUUGGAAAAUGGAGCCGAAGAAGGACGUGACUACCUGCGAUAAGUCUGGGGGAGCUGGAAGUGAGCUUCGAUCCCGGAAUUUCCGAAUGGGGAAACCUGACAUGAUUUAUCUCAUGUUAUCUAUAAGUGAAUACAUAGCUUAUAAGAAGGGAACCUAGGGAACUGAAACAUCUUAGUACCUAGAGGAAAAGAAAAUAAUAAUGAUUCUGUUAGUAGCGGCGAGCGAAAGCGGAACAGGCCAAACCACUUUACGGAGUGGGGUUGUAGGACUUUUUUAAGAGUUAGAAAGUCAUUAUAUAAUAGAAGCUACUGGGAAGUAGCGCCAUAGAGGGUGAUAGCCCCGUAUAUGAAAUGUAAUGACCUCAAUAAAGUAUCCUGAGUACGGCGAAACACGUGAAAUUUUGUCGGAAUCUGCCAAGACCACUUGGUAAGCCUAAAUACUACCAUUUUACCGAUAGUGAACCAGUACCGUGAGGGAAAGGUGAAAAGCACCCCGAAAGGGGAGUGAAAUAGUCCCUGAAACCAUAUGCUUACAAGAAGGUAGAGCCCGUUAAUGGGUAAUACCGUGCUUUUUGUAGAAAGAGCCGGCGAGUUACUAUUGCAUGCAAGGUUAAGUUGAUAUAAACGGAGCCGUAGUGAAAGCGAGCCUUAAUAGGGCGUUUAGUAUGCAGUAGUAGACACGAAACCAGGUGAUCUAGCCAUGAGCAGGUUGAAGUUAGGGUAAAACCUAAUGGAGGACCGAACCAGUAUUCGUUGAAAAGACUUUGGAUGACUUGUGGCUAGCGGUGAAAUUCCAAUCGAACCUGGAGAUAGCUAGUUCUCCCCGAUAUAUCUUUAAGGAUAGCGUUGUGUGAAUUGUUGUGGAGGUAGAGCACUGAAUCUAUGAUGGCUGCACCUAGCGGUACUGAUUAGAAUUAAACUCCGAAUGCCAUAAUUUGUGCACAGCAGUCAGAACAUGGGUGAUAAGGUCCAUGCUCGUGAGGGAAACAGCCCAGAUCGUCAGCUAAGGUCCCUAAGUGUAAACUAAGUGUGUAAGGAUGUGGAACUGCACAGACAGCUAGGAUGUUGGCUUAGAAGCAGCCAUCAUUUAAAGAGUG